rnacentral:lncRNA from 1 species
UUUUUCACAAUCGCCGCAUUGCCGUGGGAUGCGGCCAUGGGGCAGAAGACUAGCUUUCAGCAGCUCAGAGAGUAAAGGAUGAAAUUACAGGUAUCUAGCCUCUCCUGGGACCUUGAAUUACUGUUCACAGCCCGGCAUUUGAUUCAGAUUUCCAGGCUGAGAAGAUGGGCUCAUUAAGUCCCAGAAAUCCCAAGCAGAAGGAGUUACAUGGUGGAAACCUCCCAUCGCUGUUCCUGUCCAUCCAUUUCUCCCGUCUGCUGUCAUGAGGCUUAUCCAUGCUGAAAUCCGCCUCUCCAUCACUUUCCCACUUUAGAGUAUACAGCGCUGUGGAGCUGGUGGGAGUUGCCUCAGCUUCCUGACUGGCUCACCAAUUGUGGGGCUGCACCCCGCAGGCCUGCAAGCCUUGUGAUUGCCCAGCCUCAGGACUGAAAUGAGAGCCCGGGGACAGUGACAGCGACACCAGUGGCUUAACAGAUGGGGGAUCUUACAUGUCUGAAGCAAAGGGUCCUGGAUCGCAUCUCCACCACGCACGGCCAACCGCAGACAGAACGCGACAGCCAACUUCCCUGCUUAAGAAAGCAGGAGACUCCCAUUUAUGAGGGGAAUUGACCUCAGCCUGGCUCAUCAGUUACCAGGGAAACCGGUCACACAGGCAGUUCCUGAUUAAGCCCUAUAAUUAAGAGGGUUGGCUGGCGAUGCGAGGGAAGCAGGGCCUGCGAGCAGGGAUGGGCAGAGAGCAAGAGCACAGCCACCUGGAGUGGCCUGACCAUAUACCUGGCAGCCACUAAUCUCCUUUCUCUGUGGAUCCGCCUACUCUCAACACUGCAUAUAAAUGGAACUAUGCAUUAGGUGGCCUUUUGUGUCUGGCCUCUUUCACUUAGCACAAUGUUUAAAUUCAUGUCUUAUGUAUCCAACCAUAUUCAAAUAAAGUGGGUUCUGGC